rnacentral:hammerhead_ribozyme from 1 species
ACCCUGCUAAAGAGUCCCAAAUAGGACGAAAUGCGCAUCCUGGAU